rnacentral:rRNA from 1 species
AUUGAACGCUGGCGGAAUGCUUUACACAUGCAAGUCGAACGGUAGAGGGGGCGACCCCUCGAGAGUGGCGAACGGGUGAGUAAUAUAUCGGAACGUGCCCAGUCGUGGGGGAUAACGUAGCGAAAGUUACGCUAAUACCGCAUACGAUCUAAGGAUGAAAGCGGGGGAUCGCAAAACCUCGCGCGAUUGGAGCGGCCGAUAUCAGAUUAGGUAGUUGGUGGGGUAAAGGCUCACCAAGCCAACGAUCUGUAGCUGGUCUGAGAGGACGACCAGCCACACUGGAACUGAGACACGGUCCAGACUCCUACGGGAGGCAGCAGUGGGGAAUUUUGGACAAUGGACGCAAGUCUGAUCCAGCCAUUCCGCGUGCAGGAUGAAGGCCCUCGGGUUGUAAACUGCUUUUGUACGGAACGAAAAGGUCUCUCUUAAUACGGGGGGCUCAUGACGGUACCGUAAGAAUAAGCACCGGCUAACUACGUGCCAGCCGCCGCAGUAA